UAGGGUCUGGUUCAUUACAUUCAAUUUCGAAUAGUUUUUUUUAUUAAUUUCUUGCCUAUCUUUUUUCUUUGCUUUUCAGUUAGAAUCGGCAUAAUUAUUCGUUAGGUUCCUUGCAUAUUAAUAUAAACCUUAAGACCAACUACAGAAAUAAAUUACACGCAUAAUAUGCUAUCCCUUGGCUUACGUUGUACCGUUUCUCAUUCACCACUAACAAAGACCUAUAUUCAAGACUUCUUAGACGACAAAGUUUCUUUAAGAAAACAAGACAACACACGAAAAUAAGACAGCACAUAACAAAAGGUUUAAUCUUUUGUUAUGUGCUGUCUUAUAGAAUGUUGAAGACAUGGCUAUUUUAAGACGCAAAAAUGAUACCGUGGCUUUACACAACUCCUAGCGAACAUUUCCAAAACUUGUUAGAUAUUAAAAAUACAAGAAUCGUGUAAAAGUGUUAAUUUUACGUACAAAAGGUAAAAUAAUAAAUUCGAAUACCUGAUAAAAGACUAACUUUACUGUCGUUACUCCUGAAUUUGAUUGGAAAAAUAACGACUCUUAUCAUAUUAUCGUUCGUAACUUGUUUUUAAUAGAAAACACACUUGUUUUUCAAGUUCAAAGGACAGAACAAAAAGGCAGCGCAAUCGAUUUGUUGUGUAAACUCUGGGAUCAACUUCUGUCGCACACGUGACUCGGACGAAGAGCGAUUACAUGAAAUAUGAAAAUUCAUCAACUCGAUUCUCAGACCACUCAUUCACAAGACAUAAAAGAAAAUUCCGCGCUGAAGAGGAAAAGAUAAGUGCAAACCACUUUAAAGCUAACAUAACGAAGACAAAAGCAAAUAUUAAAAAAAAAAAAAAAAAAAAAAAA